rnacentral:rRNA from 1 species
AUUGAACGCUGGCGGCAGGCCUAACACAUGCAAGUCGAACGAGUGGCGGACGGGUGAGUAAUGUCUGGGAAACUGCCCGAUGGAGGGGGAUAACUACUGGAAACGGUAGCUAAUACCGCAUACCAUCGGAUGUGCCCAGAUGGGAUUAGCUAGUUGGUGGGGUAAAGGCUCACCAAGCCGACGAUCCCUAGCUGGUCUGAGAGGAUGACCAGCCAAACUGGAACUGAGACACGGUCCAGACUCCUAUGGUGGGCAGCAGUGGGGAAUAUUGCGCAAUGGGCGCAAUCCUGACGCAGCCAUGCCGCGUGUAUGAAGAAGGCCUUCGGGUUGUAAAGUACUUUCAGCGGCGAGGCGUUACUCGCAGAAGAAGCACCGGCUAACUCCGUGCCAGCAGCCGCGGUAAUUC